AGUGAACGCUGGCGGUAGACCUAACACAUGCAAGUCGAACGGCAGCACAGUAAGAGCUUGCUCUUACGGGUGGCGAGUGGCGGACGGGUGCGGAAUACAUCGGAAUCUACUUUUUCGUGGGGGAUAACGUAGGGAAACUUACGCUAAUACCGCAUACGACCUACGGGUGAAAGCAGGGGAUCUUCGGACCUUGCGCGAUUGAAUGAGCCGAUGUCGGAUUAGCUAGUUGGCGGGGUAAAGGCCCACCAAGGCGACGAUCCGUAGCUGGUCUGAGAGGAUGAUCAGCCACACUGGAACUGAGACACGGUCCAGACUCCUACGGGAGGCAGCAGUGGGGAAUAUUGGACAAUGGGCGCAAGCCUGAUCCAGCCAUACCGCGUGGGUGAAGAAGGCCUUCGGGUUGUAAAGCCCUUUUGUUGGGAAAGAAAAGCAGCAGGUUAAUACCCCGCUGUUCUGACGGUACCCAAAGAAUAAGCACCGGCUAACUUCGUG
rnacentral:rRNA from 1 species